AUCGUUUUUCAUUAUUCAUUCAUGUUUCAUUUUUCAGAGAACAUACCAAAACCUAGCGUUUUCUCUCACAAGUCAUUUUUUCCCACCAUGAUUCGAUCUCAAUCUUUGCAUCAUUUACUUCAAUCUGUAACUAAUUUCUUCGAUCUAUAAGUAUUUUCUUUCUUUAAUCUCAACUGUGAGCCAUCUUUUUCUUGAAUCUUAAACUGUACCUUUUUGUAUUUCGUCUUGUAAUAGUAGAAAAAAGAUGGAAACCAUUUUGUUUCCUCAUCAGUAAAGAAGAGUAAUAUCAACAGUGAAGACGUUUUAAAUCCCCUUUUAUUUAAUCAUCAGUAGUAUUAUCGGUGGAUUUCUCUAUGCCAAGCAUAUGGGUAAUGAUAUGUGGGAUGUGGCUAUUGAUAGAAGGUACAAGAAGCUGGUUGAGAAAUUGCUAAUGUUGAGCAGUAUUAGGCGAGAUUUGAUUGUAGGUGUAGAUUUUGAUUUUGUAUUGACGGACUUACUAUUUCAUUUUCUUGAACAUCAGCAGUGGAAUUGAUGAUCUAAAUGUAAGAUUGUUAGGGUUUCAAUUGACUUGAUCUAAAAUGUCUUGGUGGUAUUAGAUCCAAGUAACCACGGAGUGAUGCAUUUUUGCAAGGUAGUUUAUAUUUGAAGCAAGUAGAGAGACAAACACGUCGAUCUGUGUUUGUGUGGCGGCUUCAACGAAAAAGCUGAAUUAACAGCUAAGAGAGCUUGUCAAACAGAGAAAAGAUGGGUAUACAAAUGCUUUGCUCUGUAGUCUAUAAAGUGAUGAAAGUCAUCAUUUUUGAUUGGUUCGCAUGGAUUCAUCACUAUUGGUUUUUGACUAAGGAUGGUAUUGAGUUCUUGAGGACUUAUUUGUAUCUACAAUCUGGGACUGUGCCUAAUAUUUUGAAAGUUUGAAGAAAGCGGAUCAAACUGGUAAAGCACCACAGGGUGCUUUUAUUUACUGCUUACUUGGUCAAAGCAUUUGGUCAAUUGGUAGUGUUCUUGAGUUAAAGUGUUGGUUUCAAAUCUUAAUUUUUGAUGUUCUUGUAAUAAGUUAACUAUUUACUGUCCACAAUCCUGUUUUUGUUGUUCAAAUGCACAUGUUAGAUUAUUUUUUAUGAUGUGAGCUGUUGUAUCUUAUAAUACCCUGUUUAUGGAAGUUCAUAUUUGUUGCAGAUGACACAAGUAAUAUCCCUGACCAAAUGUCAAUCCGCAACCUGAUCCCGCAGCAGUGGAGAAUUAUCAAUUUGUUCGGUAUUUUCGAUGGCGUAGGCAUCGAGAUGCUGCUAAGUGCAGGUGGAAGUGGAGUCCUGGUUCAACCGAUGUAGAGGUGGAUUCAAGGUUUGAGCAUAGAACUGGCAAGGGACGCAGCUAUGGACCUCCAUACGAAUGACAACCAACGAGGUUGAUUGCUUCCCAGGGAAGCUGCUGGUGUUAAAAUUGCUAGUGGAGCAGCGGAAGCUCCAGCAAUAGAAGCUGCAAAGUGAAUGGGACCAACCUGCUGUGUCUGUUCAUGUCAAGAUGUUAUUAUUGUGUGCAACUGCAAGAUUAUGAGAAGUACGCAUUCUGUCUAUUACAUGUAUCUUGUUCAUCGGGGCUCCUUUACAUGUUCAAGUAUGUCAUUUCAACCAAGAUGGAAGUGCUUAAUUUAAGUCUAAGAGGCCCUAAUUACUCAGCUCUUCCUUUUGCUAAGGAUUAAUAUCUCAAGAAUAUGGAGCACAUAAUCUUGUUGAGCUUAUUCACUUCAAACUGUUUUGUAAAGAUGGACAUAGGAGAAUGACCUGGGCUACUUAUGAUUUACGUUUUCCCUGAAUUAUAAAUUGUGUAUCGAAAAGAUCAUAUUGCAAUUAUGUUUCAGGUUUAAAUUUAAUUGUAUCGCAAGCCUGUAAACUGAGAUCCAUGAUGACCUGUAUCGCAGGCCUGUAAACUAAGAUCCCAGGUCCAUGAGAAUGACCUGGGUUGCCUAUUUUUUCUAA